rnacentral:rRNA from 1 species
UACGAAGGGGGGCUAGCGUUGUUCGGAAUUACUGGGCGUAAAGGGCUCGUAGGCGGCCAACUAAGUCAGACGUGAAAUCCCUCAGCUUAACUGGGGAACUGCGUCUGAUACUGGAUGGCUUGGAUUCGGGAGAGGAAUGCGGAAUUCCAGGUGUAGCGGUGAAAUGCGUAGAUAUUGGGAGGAACACCAGUGGCGAAGGCGGCUCACUGGACCGGAACUGACGCUGAGGCGCGAAAGCGUGGGGAGCAAACAGG